rnacentral:lncRNA from 1 species
UUAUUAAAUAUUUUUGUAAAAAGCGAUUCAGGGACAAGUUACCGUCUAACACAGGCUUGCAAUGAAUCGCAGGACAAUAAGAAAACAUCCCUUUCACGAUGCUUAUUGAACAGUAAAAUAGAAAACACUGUUCAAUAAUGAAAUUAUCGUAGAAAAUUUAGCAGAACUAAGAAAACAUGCGGAAAGAAGAAGGUAUAUAUAUGCAACAUCGUGACUCCGGAUUGAAAACAUAGCUAUUCGACUGGGUUCAGUUAUUAGAAAUAACCUACUGGUUUUC